ensembl:lncRNA
AAGAGAAGAGAAGAGAAGAGAAGAGAAGAGAAGAGAAGAGAAGAGAAGAGAAGAGAAGAGAAGAGAAGAGAAGAGAAGAGAAGAGAAGAGAAGAGAAGAGAAGAGAAGAGAAGGAAAAAGUCUGAAAGACUGCAGAGAGCUGUAAUUGUGGCAUUAGUUUGGGAGGAGAGGUUGCAGCUGCACUCCUUUCAGGAUGAUCGAAGCCUUGCUGUUUUGUUGAUAUCAUUAGCCAGUGCAAACGUAGAGGACAUUGUGAUUUUUUGAUACUGGCAGCACCUUUUUCUGUCCUGAUGCACUUGAGGUGUCCUCUCCACUGAAGAAUGGCACAGCUUCAACGGGGAAUGGUAAGCAAUGCAGCCUCCUUCCUGUAGAAUUCCAUCAGGAUGGAACUGCUUCCAGAUGUUCUGUUUUUUGGACUCCUCCUCCUCUGUUUUUUAUUUGAAAGAAUACUGCCUGGUGUUCUUGCAAGUGGAUAUACGUACCAAGAAUACAAGCAAAAUACCAAGAAUACAAGCAAAAUGCUAGUAUAUGUCCUGAAGGAAGCGUGAGUGAUAAAAAAAGGUGAUUUCAGUUCACGAGAAAUGUAAAAGUUAAAGGCCAGCUUGACGUGUGCCACGCUGCUGCCAGCUGUCUGUGUUUUAG